rnacentral:lncRNA from 1 species
UUGCCUCAUGGCAUAAGUGUAAGAACUACAAGUUAAUCUGUAUACAGUUACUGAGGAUAAAGCACUCUAUAUGUGUUAGCUAUUAUGAUUGUAGCCAAUGAUUUUUGCUUUGAGUCUUAUGUCUCAGCCUGGCAGAUGUUUAUAAAAUCUUGCUUCUGCCAUAUAUUACGUUUACAUUUAGGGUAAGUUUUAGGCCAGGAGCACAAAGAAGUCUUUUAAACCCACAUAUGGUUGAGUUCCGCUCACCAGGAAUCUGAUUGUGGAGAAGAGCCUGGUGGAAAAGGCUUGCGGUCAUAAAUAACAUAAAUAUCCCUCGUCUUAUUUAGAAUGCAGGCCUUGUCCGUGAGAAGUUGCAGUGUCAGGAGGUGAGAGUUGAAGACUCAGAGACUUGGGAUUCCAAACACAUGUAUGUCUCCAUUCUGAGCUUCAUGCUUUUAUAGAAAACAGAAGGGGCUUGUUGGAGAGAAGCAAGAACAGGGACUUCUGCAGCUCGCUGGUUCUCUAGGCCUGUGUCCUGUGUCCCAGGAGUGCCCGAGACAGCGUCUCUCAACCUCCAGGCAUAUUGUAAGGCCCCGGCUUCAACCGACAAGAACCAUCUGGAAUGAGCCCUGCCCACAGCCAGGAUGACAGAGCAUGUGCAAGUGCUCGGCACACGCUCACCUAUGCCUUAAAGCUGAGUAAUUUGAGGAAGUUUGUAAUUUGUUCAUCUUAAGCUGGAAGACUGUGAGUACCGAUUCUAUAUUCAGAUGCAUGUGAACUUGCUGCCCAAAGUUCUGCUGGGUGUUGAAUCUUGCUAUGAGCAGAGGAGCUCUGCUUCAGCCACGUGAGUCCUGAGUGGGCUGCAGCAUCUGGCCAAAGGAAGUCCCUUAUGUGCCCAUCGUGGGGGCUGUGG